GGGGCUGCAAUGGUUUCGACGGGGAUUCCGACACAUGAUAAGCGUGGCGAGCCGGGUAAACUCGAUAACUGCCCAACUUCAAAAAUAAACGACAACAACACUGUUGCUGUGGCUGCUUGAUUUUACGCCUUUGGCGUAAAAUCGACAGUGCCGUGACCUACGGGUCACCCGUUCUUCCGAGGAGUACCACGACCUCGGACCGAGCGUCAAAUGAGUGGUGAACCUGCAUCGGCGGUUCGCUCUUGAACCGAUCAGGCAAAAAAGGGCUACCUUGCGGUUGAGCGUGUCUGUUCGCGCUUCCAAAAGGGAAAUACAAACAACAGACUGUCCACGAAGAAAGUCAUGCCGAAGGAUUUUCGGACAUGGGUUCGAUUCCCAUCAGCUCCACCA
rnacentral:tmRNA from 1 species